rnacentral:rRNA from 1 species
UACGGAGGGUGCGAGCGUUGUCCGGAAUCACUGGGCGUAAAGGGCGCGCAGGCGGCGCGGGGAGUCAACGGUGAAAGCUCGGCGCUCAACGCCGAGUCGGCCGUCGAUACUCCCGUGCUCGAGCACUGUAGAGGCAGGUGGAGUUCCGGGUGUAGCGGUGGAAUGCGUAGAGAUCCGGAAGAACACCGGUGGCGAAGGCGGCCUGCUGGGCAGUAGCUGACGCUGAGGCGCGACAGCGUGGGGAGCAAACAGG